rnacentral:lncRNA from 1 species
CUAAAAAGGUAUGAAACCAAGGAGGCAAGGCGCCCUCGGACUGCACAGGCUCUCCCCUCCUCUUGCUUGAGAUUAGAGGGGAGGGGGUAAAGGCAGGACAUCCAGAGGCAUCCAGCCAGGAUUUUAGCACCAGUAAAGCCAAGGAAUGAAUGAAUGGCCACAGGCUACUCUGCAGGGCACUCACAGCCUCGCCUUCACCAAGGAACCUCAGAGCCAAACCACAAACCAGAUGUGCGCAUAGAAUACCUAACAUUCACCUUCUGAGGGCUUUGGUAAUGAGCAUAGCUUCUGGAACCACAUUGCCUGGGACAAGAUCACCGCAAGGGCCAGGUGCAGUGGCUCAUGCCUGUAAUCCCAGCACUUUGGGACGCUGAGGCGGGUGGAUCAUCUGACAUCAGGGGUUCGAGACCAACCCGGCCAACAUCGUGAAACCCUGUCUCUACUAAAAAGACAAAAAUUGGCCGGGCGCGGUGGCUCAAGCCUGUAAUCCCAGCACUUUGGGAGGCCGAGACAGGCGGAUCACGAGGUCAGGAGAUCGAGACCAUCCUGGCUAAUAUGGUGAAACCCCGUCUCUACUAAAAAUACAAAAAACUAGCCGGGCGAGGUGGCGGGCGCCUGUAGUCCCAGCUACUCGGGAGGCUGAGGCAGGAGAAUGGCGUAAACCCGGGAGGCGGAGCUUGCAGUGAGCUGAGAUCCGGCCACUGCACUCCAGCCUGGGCGACAGAGCGAGACUCCGUCUCAAUAAAAAAAUAAAUAAAAAAUAAAAAGACAAAAAUUAACCAGGCGUGGUAGUGGGAACCUGUAGUCCCAUCUCCUCGGGAGGCUGAGGCAAGAGAAUUGCUUGAACCCAGGAGGCGUAGGUUGCAGUGAGCUAAGAUCGCACCAUUCACUGCACUCCUGCCUGGGCAACAGAGUGAGACUCUAUCUCAAAUAAUAAUAAUAAUAAUAAUAAUAAUAAAAUCAACCAGUGCUCAUGUUGUCUGAAACUAGGCCCAGUCCAGAAGGGCAAGGCUUGCAAGAGAGGAAGGAAGAAUCGCGGAGCAGCAAACCAAAGCCAGGCCUGUGUCUUGAGAGGGCUUCUCACCAAGGGAAGGUAUAACUGCCCCUUUUCCUGGCCUGUC